ACUCAAAGGAAUAGACGGGGGCCCGCACAAGUGGUGGAGCAUGUGGUUUAAUUCGAUGAUACGCGAAGAACCUUACCAGGGCUUGACAUCCCAUGCAUAGCAUAGAGAUAUGUGAAAUUUCUUCGGAGACAUGGAGACAGGUGCUGCAUGGCUGUCGUCAGCUCGUGUCGUGAGAUGUUGGGUUAAGUCCCGCAACGAGCGCAACCCUUAUUCUUAGUUGCUAGCGAGUUAAGUCGAGCACUCUAAGGAGACUGCCUGUGAUAAGCAGGAGGAAGGCGAGGAUGACGUCAAGUCAGCAUGGCCCUUACGUCCUGGGCUACACACGUGCUACAAUGGCCGGUACAGCGGGUUGCUAAGCCGCGAGGUGGAGCCAAUCCCUCAAAGCCGGUCUCAGUUCGGAUUGGAGGCUGCAAUUCGCCUCCAUGAAGUUGGAAUCACUAGUAACCGCAGAUCAGCUACGCUGCGGUGAAUGCGUUCCCGGGCCUUGUACACACCGCCCGU
rnacentral:rRNA from 1 species